rnacentral:rRNA from 1 species
GACGAACGCUGGCGGCGUGCUUAACACAUGCAAGUCGAACGGAAAGGCCCCUUCGGGGGUCCUCGAGUGGCGAACAGGUGAGUAACACGUGAGUAACCUGCCCUUGACUUCGGGAUAACUUCAGGAAACUGGGGCUAAUACCGGAUAGGAAUCCUUGCUGCAUGGUGGGGGUUGGAAAGCUUCGGCGGUUUUGGAUGGACUCGCGGCUUAUCAGCUUGUUGGUGGGGUAGUGGCUUACCAAGGCUUUGACGGGUAGCCGGCCUGAGAGGGCGACCGGCCACAGUGGGACUGAGAUACGGCCCAGACUCCUACGGGAGGCAGCAGUGGGGAAUAUUGCACAAUGGGCGGAAGCCUGAUGCAGCAACGCCGCGUGCGGGAUGACGGCCUUCGGGUUGUAAACCGCUUUCAGCAGGGGCGAAGCUUGUGGUGACGGUACCUGCAGAAGAAGCACCGGCUAACUACGUG